AAAUAUCCCUUCUCCACCUCGACGCCGUAUUCCGUCCCUUUCUCCUCCACGCGCACACGCACGCAGAAAGAGAGACGCACACCAGCACAAGAGCGCCCAUCGCCCCGUUCAUGAUUCAAUCCGAGAGGCAGCCGAGGAGUUUUGCCAGGUUUCUUCCGUCUUGGUAAUUUUCUCUGUCGGCGUGGCCUACUCUUCUUAGUCCCCUCCCCAACUCAGCCCCGCCCCCUCGUCGUCAUUCUGAGUUCGUUCUUAUAAAACCCGCCAUACAGCUCUUCCCGUUGUUUCUCGACUAGCGCGCGCGCUCGCGCGUACGCAUGUCUUUGAACUGUUGUUGUCUCGUGUUCAUUGAUUUUGCGUUCAUCUUGACCCCCCCCCCCCGCCCGCCCACCCUCUCUCUCCUCUCCGCUUCCGCAAGCACCUCCUCCUCAUUGAAUCUCUCACAGACACACACACACACACACACAUUUUUCUCUCUGUGUGCUCCUGUUUUGCAUUUACUCCGGCUCCUAUUGAGGAAUUCGGGCGGCAACUAAGUGGCGGCGUCUGUGUUUCUUAGUUGCUUUUCCAUUCUCCUCUUCUAACGCUCUCCUGCCCAUUUCCUCCGUUGUUGCCGUCUUCUCCGACGUGCCCGAGCGAAGCCUUUCGAGAGAGGAGGCCUAGUAAAGGUACCUGUGCGCUAGCGCGUGAGCCUGUUGUACGCGUGCACCGCUUUUCCCUCGUGCUUCCCCGAGAGUGGUUCCGACACACUUGCGGUGGUGUCGACCGUCUACUGGACUGCCCAAUGUGACGCAGCGUAGCAGCUUCACCAGCUCCCACCCCUGCGCUUCCUCUUUACCACCUUGCCCAUAUUGUUACCCCGCGCACCCACAAG
rnacentral:misc_RNA from 1 species